rnacentral:lncRNA from 1 species
UCACCUCUAAAAUAAAGUCAACUAGCCAUAUUUAUGUAUAUAUUCAAAACAUUUCUAAAUAAAUAGUUCUACAUAUUUCUUAUUCUAUGGUACAUUACCGAAAUGCAAAGGCGUAUAUAGUUCAGAGGUUGAAUAGAAAUUAGAUGUGAAAAAUAGAAUGUCGAUAAUGACAAUAUAUCGAAAAGAAAAGAAAAAGAAAAAUAAAGAACACACAAAUUUUUACAUGGAAA